ensembl:lncRNA
GAGAUCGUUAUGUUGUUUUCUGUUUGUUUUCGUUAUUUGGUACUCAUGUUUGUGUACAUUUGCAGUAGGAAAAGAUAAUCUGUGAUCCAGCAAUACAUCCUGCUUGUAAGAAACGUUUUGUUAAAACAUUAUUGUGAAGUAGUCACUUCCUGUGAGUCGCGGGAACCGGAAGUUGUGCGCGGGAGAGACAAGACAGAGCGGUAACACGGCGGACUUUUUGGAAUGUACAUCUUUUCUACUGCUGGUUUUACAAGGCGUACACGUUUUCACGGUGCUCCAUGAUUGUGAGCGGAAUAAAAGUAUUGUGGACAUCAGUACGAAGCGUGGAUUCUUUCGACCAGAGUAGAUACAGUGAAAACGUGUCCCAAUCCAUCUGGAGGCUUCGUGAGCUACAGGCUUCAGUGGACACUUGCUUUGCAUUUUGUAACAACCAAUCAGGAGCUGCAGAUUCAGCGGACGCUCCAAGAAGCGGUUUCAAGAAGCUAGUCACUUCCUGUGAGUCGCGGGAACCGGAAGUUGUGCGCGGGAGAGACAAGACAGAGCGGUAACACGGCGGACUUUUUGGAAUGUACAUCUUUUCUACUGCUGGUUUUACAAGGCGUACACGUUUUCACGGUGCUCCAUGAUUGUGAGCGGAAUAAAAGUAUUGUGGACAUCAGUACGAAGCGUGGAUUCUUUCGACCAGAGUAGAUACACUGAGGCUUUAAUUGAACUCACAGGCAAAGCCCUGUGCAAACCAUGAUUCUGACUCUGAGUGUCAGCCUGACAUCUACUGACAAUAUCGGCUUAGUGUCCAAAAUGCCACUGAGGUCCAGCUUUAAUGUCCACUGAGGACUUUUUGAUGGGCGGUCAUAGAAAGAGAGAUUCUAUUGUUACCUUAUUACUACUGCCUUUAGUAAGGUGCCGUAAAUUCAUUUUCUGACAUGAUGCUAAUAUCAAUUUAAAAAGUGUCCCUUUGAUUUUUUGAACAGUGUAACAAUA